AAGGUUAAGCCUCACGGUUCAUUAGUACCGGUUAGCUCAACGCAUCGCUGCGCUUACACACCCGGCCUAUCAACGUCGUCGUCUUCAACGUUCCUUCAGGACUCUCAAGGAGUCAGGGAGAACUCAUCUCGGGGCAAGUUUCGUGCUUAGAUGCUUUCAGCACUUAUCUCUUCCGCAUUUAGCUACCGGGCAGUGCCAUUGGCAUGACAACCCGAACACCAGUGAUGCGUCCACUCCGGUCCUCUCGUACUAGGAGCAGCCCCCCUCAGUUCUCCAGCGCCCACGGCAGAUAGGGACCGAACUGUCUCACGACGUUCUAAACCCAGCUCGCGUACCACUUUAAAUGGCGAACAGCCAUACCCUUGGGACCUACUUCAGCCCCAGGAUGUGAUGAGCCGACAUCGAGGUGCCAAACACCGCCGUCGAUAUGAACUCUUGGGCGGUAUCAGCCUGUUAUCCCCGGAGUACCUUUUAUCCGUUGAGCGAUGGCCCUUCCAUUCAGAACCACCGGAUCACUAUGACCUGCUUUCGCACCUGCUCGCGCCGUCACGCUCGCAGUCAAGCUGGCUUAUGCCAUUGCACUAACCUCCUGAUGUCCGACCAGGAUUAGCCAACCUUCGUGCUCCUCCGUUACUCUUUAGGAGGAGACCGCCCCAGUCAAACUACCCACCAGACACUGUCCGCAACCCGGAUUACGGGUCCACGUUAGAACAUCAAACAUUAAAGGGUGGUAUUUCAAGGUCGGCUCCAUGCAGACUGGCGUCCACACUUCAAAGCCUCCCACCUAUCCUACACAUCAAGGCUCAAUGUUCAGUGUCAAGCUAUAGUAAAGGUUCACGGGGUCUUUCCGUCUUGCCGCGGGUACACUGCAUCUUCACAGCGAGUUCAAUUUCACUGAGUCUCGGGUGGAGACAGCCUGGCCAUCAUUACGCCAUUCGUGCAGGUCGGAACUUACCCGACAAGGAAUUUCGCUACCUUAGGACCGUUAUAGUUACGGCCGCCGUUUACCGGGGCUUCGAUCAAGAGCUUCGCUUGCGCUGACCCCAUCAAUUAACCUUCCGGCACCGGGCAGGCGUCACACCGUAUACGUCCACUUUCGUGUUUGCACAGUGCUGUGUUUUUAAUAAACAGUUGCAGCCAGCUGGUAUCUUCGACUGAUUUCAGCUCCAUCCGCGAGGGACUUCACCUACAUAUCAGCGUGCCUUCUCCCGAAGUUACGGCACCAUUUUGCCUAGUUCCUUCACCCGAGUUCUCUCAAGCGCCUUGGUAUUCUCUACCUGACCACCUGUGUCGGUUUGGGGUACGAUUUGAUGUUACCUGAUGCUUAGAGGCUUUUCCUGGAAGCAGGGCAUUUGUUGCUUCAGCACCGUAGUGCCUCGUCAUCACGCCUCAGCCUUGAUUUUCCGGAUUUGCCUGGAAAACCAGCCUACACGCUUAAACCGGGACAACCGUCGCCCGGCCAACAUAGCCUUCUCCGUCCCCCCUUCGCAGUAACACCAAGUACAGGAAUAUUAACCUGUUUCCCAUCGACUACGCCUUUCGGCCUCGCCUUAGGGGUCGACUCACCCUGCCCCGAUUAACGUUGGACAGGAACCCUUGGUCUUCCGGCGAGCGGGCUUUUCACCCGCUUUAUCGUUACUUAUGUCAGCAUUCGCACUUCUGAUACCUCCAGCAUACCUCACAGUACACCUUCACAGGCUUACAGAACGCUCCCCUACCCAACAACGCAUAAGCGUCGCUGCCGCAGCUUCGGUGCAUGGUUUAGCCCCGUUACAUCUUCCGCGCAGGCCGACUCGACCAGUGAGCUAUUACGCUUUCUUUAAAUGAUGGCUGCUUCUAAGCCAACAUCCUGGCUGUCUGGGCCUUCCCACAUCGUUUCCCACUUAACCAUGACUUUGGGACCUUAGCUGGCGGUCUGGGUUGUUUCCCUCUUCACGACGGACGUUAGCACCCGCCGUGUGUCUCCCGUGAUAACAUUCUCCGGUAUUCGCAGUUUGCAUCGGGUUGGUAAGUCGGGAUGACCCCCUUGCCGAAACAGUGCUCUACCCCCGGAGAUGAAUUCACGAGGCGCUACCUAAAUAGCUUUCGGGGAGAACCAGCUAUCUCCCGGUUUGAUUGGCCUUUCACCCCCAGCCACAAGUCAUCCGCUAAUUUUUCAACAUUAGUCGGUUCGGUCCUCCAGUUAGUGUUACCCAACCUUCAACCUGCCCAUGGCUAGAUCACCGGGUUUCGGGUCUAUACCCUGCAACUUAACGCCCAGUUAAGACUCGGUUUCCCUUCGGCUCCCCUAUUCGGUUAACCUUGCUACAGAAUAUAAGUCGCUGACCCAUUAUACAAAAGGUACGCAGUCACACGCCUAAGCGUGCUCCCACUGCUUGUACGUACACGGUUUCAGGUUCUUUUUCACUCCCCUCGCCGGGGUUCUUUUCGCCUUUCCCUCACGGUACUGGUUCACUAUCGGUCAGUCAGGAGUAUUUAGCCUUGGAGGAUGGUCCCCCCAUAUUCAGACAGGAUACCACGUGUCCCGCCCUACUCAUCGAGCUCACAGCAUGUGCAUUUUUGUGUACGGGGCUGUCACCCUGUAUCGCGCGCCUUUCCAGACGCUUCCACUAACACACACACUGAUUCAGGCUCUGGGCUGCUCCCCGUUCGCUCGCCGCUACUGGGGGAAUCUCGGUUGAUUUCUUUUCCUCGGGGUACUUAGAUGUUUCAGUUCCCCCGGUUCGCCUCAUUAACCUAUGGAUUCAGUUAAUGAUAGUGUGACGAAUCACACUGGGUUUCCCCAUUCGGAAAUCGCCGGUUAUAACGGUUCAUAUCACCUUACCGACGCUUAUCGCAGAUUAGCACGUCCUUCAUCGCCUCUGACUGCCAGGGCAUCCACCGUGUACGCUUAGUCGCUUAA
rnacentral:rRNA from 1 species